GACAGAGGUCCCGAGCGUUUAGGCGGAAUCACUGGGCUUAAAGCGUGUGUAGGCGGAUCGUUAAGUGCCUUGUGAAAUCCCAUGGCUUAACCAUGGAACUGCUUGGCAUACUGGCGAUCUUGAGCCACUUAGGGGCAACCGGAACAAAUGGUGGAGCGGUGAAAUGCGUAGAUAUCAUUUGGAACGCCAAUGGUGAAAACAGGUUGCUGGGGAUGAGCUGACACUGAGACGCGAAAGCCAGGGGAGCGAACGGG
rnacentral:rRNA from 1 species